ensembl:lncRNA
AAUUGCUAGACCUUGGAAACAUGUUUAUAAGAAACAGCACCCAUCGAGCUCAGUUUCUAGGACUUGGACAAGGUCACAUAGCUAUCAUGACACGGUUGCUUGUGGAACCUGUGUCUUUCUCUUCCUUUCCUGCCCUGAGCAGAUUGAUGGCUGAAUGGCAGAGACACUUGACUAGGGCAAGCCUCUCCGCUACUGGCUACCUGUUUCUUUGUCUUUGAUCCACUAGAAACUCUUGAAAUUGAGUCACACACUCUCACACACACACCCCUUCACUGGAAAGACACGUUAAAGCGCAACAGUUUGAGACUUGUAUUGCUGCUACCCUUGGACUUGCUUUGUGUCCCCUUCCUAGACUGUUACCCCAAGACCUCAUUUUAUCACAGCUUUGCCAGAGAGAGAGAGAGAGACCACCUGCUAGUCACUGACAUAACUUUGAUAUUACUUUCUCUUCUGAACUCCGUGGAGGUUUUUUUGCUUUAUUCACUUUGCAAUUAAGAUGUAGUCCUAAUGCUUUUAAUCUAUUCCCAAGUAAAUGUUCUUCCACAGUGCUACUUGGCAUCUCCAGGGUCUAACCAGCAUGAUGUCAAGGGCAAGGGCUCAAAAGAGCGCUUGUAGAGAACAAGCAUUUGUAAGCUGCUGGGAAGUUUACACCUCACCUCACAUCCCAUCUCAAAACCCUAUUCUGUGCUUUCAGAUCUGUGUAGAACCUUCUCCACCCUAAUUUUUGGCCAGACUUAUGCACAGGAGACUGUUAAAAGUAUUCCAUAUUAGUAAUAGCCUGGAACAGCCAGGUGAAGGGCUUGCAGUGCCCUAUACUGACAUUAAUAACAAGCAGUUGAGAGGUUUAUUGACUCACCUGAAAGCACUUCUUAAACCCCAGGUUACAUCCCAUCACUACUAGAAGAAAAAUUUGAAGACAGGAGGGUCACUAAGAUCAAGCUUCAGUGGGUACCCCAUCUCAAGGGAAUGUGAUAGAGAAUGAUAGAGCAAGACAACACAUACCAUCCUCUGACCUCCGAGAAUGGGCGUGUGUUCUCUCUCUCUCUCUCUCUCUCUCUCUCUCUCUCUCUCUCUCUCUCUCUCUCUCUCUCUCUCUCUCUCGCACACACCAGUUUGUUUGUUUUAGAUAUAUAUUACUAACAGGCAUACUCAGAGAUCUUUACAAGUUUUGCAGCAAAGAGAAAUUAUUUUGCAUUAAUUAAUUUGCAGAAAUUAACCUGCAAUCCAAGAGGACAGAGUUUAGCAUAACUCUCAGGUUCUGUUGGAGGUUUUGUUUUGUUUGUUGAUCCUUGAGACAGUUCAGCCAGUUCAAGAUUAUUUCCUCUGUCAGCCAUAACAAAACAAAAACAAAAAAACCACAGCCCUCAUCUAAAGGGAAUAAGAGCUUAUUCUGGGCCCAUUCUGAGUGACUAUGGCCCGGGACAUAAUCUCUUCAUUUGUCGCUUCAUUGAAACUAACAGUAUUAUUUUAACAGUACUAGAAAUUCACCGGGUAGAAUGUUAAAUAUCAUAGAGAGUUCUAAAAAUCUAAUUACAGAAGUAUUUAAGAAACAACAAGUGAGAGGUGAUCAGUUCCUGGGGUUAUCCAGCACUUCCAAGUCCCCAUGAAUGUGCUCCCGACAGCGUGAGAAAGUUGACGGCCUUGGGUCUCCUAGUCCAACAAACCCAGCUCCAUCAGCCUAAGGAUGACGCCGCCCACGGUGGGCUGGACUCUCCCCAAUCAAUCACAAGGAAAUGCUCUACAGGCUUGGCUCCAGCCGUAUUUUAUGGAGGCAUUUUCUUAAUUGAGCUUCCCUCCUCUCAGAUGACUUUAGCUUGUCUCGAGUAGACACAAUAAUGUAUCCAGCAUACCAG